rnacentral:rRNA from 1 species
UACGUAGGGUGCAAGCGUUGUCCGGAAUUAUUGGGCGUAAAGAGCUCGUAGGCGGUCUGUCGCGUCUGCUGUGAAAACUCGGGGCUUAACCCCGGGCCUGCAGUGGGUACGGGCAGACUAGAGUGCGGUAGGGGAGACUGGAAUUCCUGGUGUAGCGGGGAAAUGCGCAGAUAUCAGGAGGAACACCGGUGGCGAAGGCGGGUCUCUGGGCCGUAACUGACGCUGAGGAGCGAAAGCGUGGGGAGCGAACAGG